rnacentral:rRNA from 1 species
UACGUAGGUCGCAAGCGUUGUCCGGAUUUACUGGGCGUAAAGAGCGCGCAGGCGGCUGGUCAAGUCCGAUGUGAAAUCUCCCGGCUCAACUGGGAAACUGCAUCGGAAACUGAUCGGCUUGAAGAUGGGAGAGGGUAGUGGAAUUCCCGGUGUAGUGGUGAAAUGCGUAGAUAUCGGGAGGAACACCAGUGGCGAAGGCAGCUCUCUGGGACGGUACUGACGCUGAGACGCGAAAGCGUGGGGAGCGAACAGG